CCUACGGGAGGCAGCAGUGGGGAAUAUUGGGCAAUGGGCGAAAGCCUGACCCAGCGACGCCGCGUGAGGGACGAAGGCCUUCGGGUUGUAAACCUCUUUCAGCAGGGAAGAAGCGAAAGUGACGGUACCUGCAGAAGAAGCACCGGCUAACUACGUGCCAGCAGCCGCGGUAAUACGUAGGGUGCAAGCGUUGUCCGGAAUUAUUGGGCGUAAAGAGCUCGUAGGUGGUUUGCCACGUCGGAUGUGAAAACCUGAGGCUUAACCUCAGGCCUGCAUUCGAUACGGGCAGACUAGAGUGUGGUAGGGGAGACUGGAAUUCCUGGUGUAGCGGUGAAAUGCGCAGAUAUCAGGAGGAACACCGGUGGCGAAGGCGGGUCUCUGGGCCAUAACUGACACUGAGGAGCGAAAGCGUGGGGAGCAAACAGGAUUAGAUACCCUGGUAGUCCACGCCGUAAACGGUGGGCACUAGAUGUGGGGACCUUCCACGGUCUCUGCGUCGCAGCUAACGCAUUAAGUGCCCCGCCUGGGGAGUACGGCCGCAAGGCUAAAACUCAAAGGAAUUGACGG
rnacentral:rRNA from 1 species